AAAGGGAUUUUGGCCAAGUUAAUUACAGAGGUAGAAAAUCAUGAUAUGAGAGUUACUAAUUGUAGUGCUGUGCCGUUCGAGAGCUUGGGCUUAGACAUUACAAUUGUCACACAGAUUGAAAAGGGUUUCACUGAAAAUGUGAAAGAAUGUGUAAGAAGGCUCCACUCCUCACUCCAAUUGGCUAGCCAUUGAUACUUUGCAUCAAGUGGAUGAUCAACUCGUAAUUUACGUUGGGAAUCAUGCUUCAAAGUAGUGGGAAUGUUGUUUCUGAAAAUAUCUAAUGCAAUUGCUGUUAUUUAGUUUCAGUAAAUUAUUGAGUUUGAAUUAGUCAAAGUAUACUUAGUUAUUAGUUAGUGGAUCACUUACUGUGUGAGUUUACAAUGGAGUUAGUUAGCUUCCAUUGUGCUUAAUAUGCUGUUGCUAUCCAUCCAUUUAAAGGUUAGAUGUACUUAAGUUUUAUGAAUCAAGUUUAAUAUAUUGCAUUCUUAUUCUAUAUCUAUGUAAGUUCUUAAUUCCAA